CCACUGAGUGAGGCCAGGGAUCAAACUCGCAACCUCAUGUUACUAAUCGGAUUCACUUCUGCUGCACCACAAGAACCCCUGACUUUGAUUCUUCAAAGACUAUCUUAAAGCAAAAUAAUUUAAUGUCAGGACUGUACUUUCCUACUGGUCCAAAUACCCUAGUAAAUCCUAUAGGGAAAACAUCUACACAAUCAAACCUGGAAUGCUAUUCACUGAUUUUUUUUUUUUUAUUAAGUUAUAUAGGUUUCAGGUACAUUACAUAGUCACUGACAAUUUUAAAAGAUUAUAUUCCAUUUACAGUUAUUAUAAAAUGUUGGCUAUAUUCCCUGCACUGUAUAAUAUAUUCUUGUGGUUUAUUUUAUACAUAGUAGUUUGUGCCAUUUAACCUCCUACCCCAAUUUUGCCCCUCCCCCCACUGGAAACCACUUGCUUGGGCUCUAUACUGUAUGUUUCUUUUUGUUAUGUUCACUAGGUUUUUUUUUAGAUUGGUUUGGUUGUUUGUUUCUUGCUUUUUAGGGCCACACCCGUGGCAUAUGGAAGUUCCCACACUAGGGGUCAAAUCAGAGCUGUAGCUGCUGGCUUAUACCAUGGCCACAGCAACACAGGAUCCAAGCUGCAUCUGCAACCUACACCACAGCUCAGGGCAACACCAGAUCCUUAACCCCCUGAGGGAGGCCAGGGAUUGAACUUGGUCCUCAUGGAUGCUAGUCUGAUUAGUUAACUGAUGAGCCAUGAUAGCAACUCCCAUGUUCACCAAAUAUAAAUAUUAUAAACUUUGGUAAUACAUAAUGACUCAAAUUGGGUAGAAGCAAUGGAGAGCAAUACAGAGACACUAAUUUCCUCAGUGAAAGCCCUAUAUUAUAACCUAAAAUUGUUGGAGGAAAAAAGAAUAUGCCUUUAAAUCUAAAAGGAAAGCAACAGAAGAAUUAAAAGAUAAUAUAAGUGAGAAACCAGAAGUUUUCCCACUAAGAUCAGGAACAAGCUAAGGCUGACCCCUCUCACUACUCCUUCUUCAACAUGGUAUUAGAAUUCUAGCUAAUGCAGUAAGAUAAACAAAGGAAAUAAAAGGUAUACUGAUAGAAAAAGAAAAAAAAAACUUUGUUUACAGAUGACAUAAUUUUUUAUAUAGAAAAUACAAACGAAUCAACAAAUAAACUCUCUUGGCACAAAUAAGCUAUUACAGCAAGGUUUCAGGAUGUAAGGCCAAUGUAAAAAAGUCAAUCACUUUCCUAUGUACUACCAAUGAAGUAGAAUUCGAAAUUUAAAACACAGUAUCAUUAUAGUAGCAUUCCCCAAAAUGAAACUCUUAGGGAUAAAUCUAACAAAAUUAUACAAUAUUAGGUUUUGAGGAAAGCUACCAAACUCAAAAGAAAUCAAAGAACUAAGUAAACGGAAUGAUAUUCCAUGUUCAUGGAUAGGAAGACUCAAUAUUAUCAAGAUGUUGGUUUUUCCAACUUCAGCUAUAGAUUCAAUGUAAUUCCAAUCAAAUCCCAACAAGUUAUUUUGUACCUACUGACAAACUGAAUCUAAAGAGGCAAGAGACCCAGAAUAGUCAACCCAGUAUUGAAGAAGAACAAAGCUGGAGAACAAGAAACCCUUAAAACUCAGUAAUGAGAAAAUGAAACAACCCAAUUAAAAAACAGCCUCCCCCCCGCAAAAAAAAAUAGGCCAAAGACCUAAACAGACACCUCACCAAAGAAUAUAUACAAGUGGCAAAUAAAUAACUGACUAAAUUGUUUCAUGUUAUAUGUCAUUAGGGUACACAAGUUAAAACAACAAGAUACCUCUACAACACCAAAAUCCAAAACAUUACCAACACCAAAUGCUAGAGAGGAUGUAAAACAAUAGGAACUCUCAUUCACUGCUGAGGGGAAUGCAAAAUAGUAUGCAAAAUAGGAACUUUGGAAGACAAUUUGGCAGUUUCAUACAAAACUAAAUACACUCUUUAUAACUAUACAAGUAUCACUCCUUGGUACCUAACCAAAGGAGUUGAAAACCUGUGUCAAAAAAAAAAAAAAACAAACAAACAAACCCUGUACACUGAUGUUUAUAGCAGUUCUGCUUUUUUUUUUUUUUUUUUUGUCUUUCCUAGGGCUGCAUCCGCGGCAUAACGGAGGCUCCCAGGCUAGGGGUCGAAUCGGAGCUGUGGCCACCGGCCUAUGCCAGCACCACAGCAACACGGGAUCCGAGCCUCUUCGACAAACUACACCACAGCUCACAGCAACACCAGAUCCUUAACCCACUGAGCAAGGCCAGGGAUCGAACCCUCAACCUCAUGGUUCCUAGUCAGAUUUGUUACCACUGAGCAACAGGGGAACUCCAGCAGUUCCCCUGCAAAAAAGUUGCAAUUUAGAAGCACCCAAGUUGCCCUUCACUAGGUGAAUGGAUAAGUAAAUUGUGGUAUACCCAGACAAUGGAAUAUAAUGCUAAAAAGAAACAUAUUAUCAAGGUAGGAAAAGACAUGGACAUGGAUAUUACAAGUGAAAGAAGCCAAUCUGAAAAGACUAUAUAUGAUUUCCAACUAUUUGCCUCUAAAAAAGGUAAAACUAUGGAGA
rnacentral:lncRNA from 1 species